AUCACUUAAGGAACCAUUUCUGUUAAUGCGAAGGCUGCUGUUGAUGACUGCCUGCUGCUUUAUUCUUCGGGACUGACUGCUUGGCUGACUUUGAACUUGUUGGUUGGGUUUUAUAAGAAAAAAUGUAGACGUUUACAGCAUAGAGGCAGCAGUUAUUGGCCAAGGUGCAGGUGUUCCAAUUCUGCGGCAGAUGAUUUUGUAUCUCCAUUUGCUCAAUUUGUUAAUGCAAAAGACCCUGACUUUCAAAAGGCAAACUACCUCGGCAUGGCUCCAGCAACGUCUUCCUUUAUAAUUCAAG
ensembl:lncRNA